UGAGAUUCCUGGAGUCAGAAUAGCCAUUUUCAGACUGAGGUCAAGAAUGCACCUACAUUCCAACCAACUUUGCAAAUAAAUAUCGAAUGCUUUUGAAGGACAAAAACAAAGCAUCAAGUUGUAAGGAAGUAAAUGAAGCCUGAUAACUCCCUGAACAUUUGGUAUGGUAUGUGGACCAGAGGAAUACCAACUUGGAUGAUAUUGUGACUACUGGUGCUCACCCAGAAGAGUUGGAGUGAGAUUGCUGAACCCAUGUUCCUGAUCCUCUGACAUCAUCAUGCUGCAGUCUGAGAAAGAAAGGAGAUUACAACAACAGUCAAUGACUCCCAUUUUCUUAGAGAAACUGCUACAUGGACCACCUAGACAGCUAUGAGUUUCAUUACUCUGAUUUUGGUCAAGGAACACUGUAUCUACAAUAUAGCUUGGGACACAGAUGUUAACUUUGCCAAUGUGGUGUUUCAUCUGCUGUUGGAAUAGAGAGCCUGGAGAACUGAGACCUCAGAAACUUCCCUUCUGUGGGAAAGAAACUUACUUAUUGAAGCAACAAAAGACUAAAGCCCCUCUCCAGCAUAAGAGGAGGAAUGGAAUAAUGGUUUUACUGAUAAUAUUCAGUAUUUGGAGACUAUAGCAGCUUAAACAUGCCUUUGGAAUUGGUAGCAGUAAUGCAGUUGGACUUUAAGAGUGGAAAGUACUCAUACCUCACCCACCACAAGAACUUUCCCUUUGAUUAGAACAAAAUGGUGAGAAUUGCAAUUUGACCAAUGGUGUCUUCAUUGAUAAUGUUCAUACUAGAAUGAUGGUAUUGACCUGUUAAGUGUUUGUAACCAUUUCUGUUCACUAUGAAAAUGUUACUUGUUGAAGAAAAGGCUCAUGUGUGAGGGAUUUGCCAUGAUGAUAAUGAGUUCUUGGAUUUGACACGUUUAAUAAGACAAAUAUGGAUUUUGAUGAAGUUAAAACUGCUAAAGAUCUCCUGGACCAAUUUAAAAAUAGGUCCUUCUAUCUUAGACACCCUUUACUCCUUUAUUAGGAUGUAUUGUAGUCAUAGAGCAUGUGUAUUGCUAAGCAUUAUCUACUUGCCUAUGAUUAUCCAGUUACUUGUGAAUUCUCAUUGGAAAGUUGGAUCAGAUAUAUGUGGCAUCAAGCUGUGCACUCUUCCUCAACCCUUUAUAAACAGAUACUGGUAGUAAAGAUGGGUAAGAUCUUUUUUCCUUCAGUCAGUUCUAAGACAAGACAUGCAUGACAGAAUAUGUGUACUAGUGAUGGGUAAGUCUGGAAGGUUGAAGAAGACAGCUUAAGACAGGCACAGUUGUUUGUGCUGUGGCAGAAGCACAAGCAUUAAUAAUUAAAUUAAAAGGGGGAACUAUCAGAGCCCACAGCAUGAAUCCAUUCCAUCUUGACUUGAAAGUUAGAGAGUUCAGACAUAUUCUUGUUCCUUCAAGGUUAUAUGACAGGAUGCUUGACCUAAGGUGUGGUUACAGAUGUUCUGCCUAGAAAAAAGAUAUUUUGAUCUAGGGUGUGGUUACUUGAUGUUUGGAGAUGUGUGGAAGAAAUUACUUUGUCCGUUCAUUAUAUCAUGGCAAGGAAGUCUUUUGCCUUUCGCCUUUCGCCUUUU